rnacentral:rRNA from 1 species
AUUGAACGCUGGCGGCAUGCCUUACACAUGCAAGUCGAACGGUAACGCGGGGCAACCUGGCGACGAGUGGCGAACGGGUGAGUAAAGCAUCGGAACGUGCCCAGUAGUGGGGGAUAGCCCGGCGAAAGCCGGAUUAAUACCGCAUACGACCUAUGGGAGAAAGGGGGGGAUCGCAAGACCCCUCGCUAUUGGAGCGGCCGAUGUCAGAUUAGGUAGUUGGUGGGGUAAAGGCCUACCAAGCCGACGAUCUGUAGCUGGUCUGAGAGGACGACCAGCCACACUGGGACUGAGACACGGCCCAGACUCCUACGGGAGGCAGCAGUGGGGAAUUUUGGACAAUGGGCGCAAGCCUGAUCCAGCCAUGCCGCGUGCGGGAAGAAGGCCUUCGGGUUGUAAACCGCUUUUGUCAGGGAAGAAAUCCUUUGGGUUAAUACCUCGGGGGGAUGACGGUACCUGAAGAAUAAGCACCGGCUAACUACGUGCCAGCAGCCGCGGUAA